GUGCUCAUUUUGGUGGCACAUAUACCAGAAUUGGAAUGAUACAUAGAUUAGCAUGAUUCCUGUGUAAGGAUGACAUACAAAUCUGUGAAGUGCUCCAUAUUUUU
ensembl:snRNA U6 U6 spliceosomal RNA